AACGAACGCUGGCGGCAUGCCUAACACAUGCAAGUCGAACGAGACCUUCGGGUCUAGUGGCGCACGGGUGCGUAACGCGUGGGAACCUGCCCUUAGGUUCGGACUAACUCCCCGAAAGGGGUGCUAAUACCGGAUAAUGUCUUCGGACCAAAGAUUUAUCGCCUUUGGAUGGGCCCGCGUUGGAUUAGCUAGUUGGUAGGGUAAAAGCCUACCAAGGCGACGAUCCAUAGCUGGUCUGAGAGGAUGAUCAGCCACACUGGGACUGAGACACGGCCCAGACUCCUACGGGAAGCAGCAGUGGGGAAUAUUGGACAAUGGGCGAAAGCCUGAUCCAGCAAUGCCGCGUGAGUGAGGAAGUCCUUAGGGUUGUAAAGCUCUUUUAACCGGGAUGAUAAUGACAGUACCGGGAGAAUAAGCGCCGGCUAACUACGUG
rnacentral:rRNA from 1 species